AUGCUCACUUCAGCAGCACAUAUACUAAAAUUGGAGCAAUACAGAGAAAAUUAGCAUGGACCCUGUGCUAGGAUGACACACAAAUUCAUGAAGCAUUCCAUAGUUUU
ensembl:snRNA U6 U6 spliceosomal RNA